AUUGAACGCUGGCGGCAGGCCUAACACAUGCAAGUCGAGCGGUAGCACAGAGAGCUUGCUCUCGGGUGACGAGCGGCGGACGGGUGAGUAAUGUCUGGGAAACUGCCUGAUGGAGGGGGAUAACUACUGGAAACGGUAGCUAAUACCGCAUAACGUCGCAAGACCAAAGUGGGGGACCUUCGGGCCUCAUGCCAUCAGAUGUGCCCAGAUGGGAUUAGCUAGUAGGUGGGGUAACGGCUCACCUAGGCGACGAUCCCUAGCUGGUCUGAGAGGAUGACCAGCCACACUGGAACUGAGACACGGUCCAGACUCCUACGGGAGGCAGCAGUGGGGAAUAUUGCACAAUGGGCGCAAGCCUGAUGCAGCCAUGCCGCGUGUGUGAAGAAGGCCUUCGGGUUGUAAAGCACUUUCAGNGGGGAGGAAGGCGNUAAGGUUAAUAACCUUGGCGAUUGACGUUACCCGCAGAAGAAGCACCGGCUAACUCCGUGCCAGCAGCCGCGGUAAUACGGAGGGUGCAAGCGUUAAUCGGAAUUACUGGGCGUAAAGCGCACGCAGGCGGUCUGUCAAGUCGGAUGUGAAAUCCCCGGGCUUAACCUGGGAACUGCAUUCGAAACUGGCAGGCUAGAGUCUUGUAGAGGGGGGUAGAAUUCCAGGUGUAGCGGUGAAAUGCGUAGAGAUCUGGAGGAAUACCGGUGGCGAAGGCGGCCCCCUGGACAAAGACUGACGCUCAGGUGCGAAAGCGUGGGGAGCAAACAGGAUUAGAUACCCUGGUAGUCCACGCCGUAAACGAUGUCGAUUUGGAGGUUGUGCCCUUGAGGCGUGGCUUCCGGAGCUAACGCGUUAAAUCGACCGCCUGGGGAGUACGGCCGCAAGGUUAAAACUCAAAUGAAUUGACGGGGGCCCGCACAAGCGGUGGAGCAUGUGGUUUAAUUCGAUGCAACGCGAAGAACCUUACCUGGUCUUGACAUCCACAGAACUUUCCAGAGAUGGAUUGGUGCCUUCGGGAACUGUGAGACAGGUGCUGCAUGGCUGUCGUCAGCUCGUGUUGUGAAAUGUUGGGUUAAGUCCCGCAACGAGCGCAACCCUUAUCCUUUGUUGCCAGCGGUCCGGCCGGGAACUCAAAGGAGACUGCCAGUGAUAAACUGGAGGAAGGUGGGGAUGACGUCAAGUCAUCAUGGCCCUUACGACCAGGGCUACACACGUGCUACAAUGGCAUAUACAAAGAGAAGCGACCUCGCGAGAGCAAGCGGACCUCAUAAAGUAUGUCGUAGUCCGGAUUGGAGUCUGCAACUCGACUCCAUGAAGUCGGAAUCGCUAGUAAUCGUAGAUCAGAAUGCUACGGUGAAUACGUUCCCGGGCCUUGUACACACCGCCCGUCACACCAUGGGAGUGGGUUGCAAAAGAAGUAGGUAGCUUAACCUUCGGGAGGGCGCUUACCACUUUGUGAUUCAUGACUGGGGUGAAG
rnacentral:rRNA from 1 species